GCAACCGCCGAGCGCGGCAACGAAGCUGCAGGUGGCCGAGCCCACCGGCACAGCUCUUCUCAGAUGGUGUCCCGGGCCAACAGGGCUGACCAUGGUUGGCGGCGGAGUUAGAGCGGCGGAAGUUGCAGAGGUCUGGUGAUUGACGGCUAGUGCCUCACAAAGUCUCCAGUGAUGCGGCGACGAGGCCUGAAAUCCGAUCAUAGGACUAGGACAUCUCAUAAAAAGAAGUACACAACAAAGAAACCAGGAUUUGGAAGGCACCAAGAUCUGAAGAACCGGCUCGAAACAAUGGCUGCAAUGAUGAACCAGCGGGAGCAGGGGGAACCGAAAUACUGCCAUCUCUAAAAACAACACAUAUAUAAUCUUUUUUGUUCUCAGACUUAUUGCAACCCAGCUUCGUGAACAAUGCAUGUAUUUUCUGUGUUCAGCACCAUGUAUUCGAACAAUAGUAAUCUAGUUCAUAAUCCGGUGGUAUCUGUUCUGA